CUCGACAUCAGCGGCCCGUCACGAGGCGCUUCACAUCCUGAUGAUGAUUGAUAAUGCGGAGAUUUUCACACGACGCCGAUUGAUUUUGUCUGUGAGGUUUUCAUACGACUGCCAUCACUGAGGCUUCAAACUAUCUGUAGAGACACAUGGUUACGGGGUUAAGAUGGUGCAUGGAGAUCUGGCAUACUUCAAAAAGAGCAACAACCAGAGGACAAAAGUUUGACCCCAACCCUGCCGAGCACUUUUUGGGGUUCACAGCGCAGGUGACCUCUGGGGUGAUACAGUGACAUCCUCAACUCUUUAUCAUCAAAGAGAUCUGCAGGGGGGCGGAGUUGAGACACGACGCAUCACAAUGAAGAUCCACCUACAUUCUUCCAGUCCUGCUCCUCACUUUCCUCAAGUAUGCGAAUAUGAAUGACCUCUCACCUCUCUCUGUGACCUCUUCAUCACUUUACCCUGCUACAGUCAUUUUGUCACCUGAAAAUUAUUGGUUUACAUUUCAGUUGACAUUAUCUCAUUUUUCCUCUCAUAAGAUUAUUUUUUUAAGAUUUAAAUAGUGUUAUUAGGAUUUGCAUGGCAAAAAGAAUCUUUACACUGCCAAAGCAUUGAAAUAUAAACUGUACAUAUUUACAAACAAAUACAUGUAAAAAAUUAAACGGUAUAAUCUAUAAAACGUAUAAAAAGAUUAUUAAUAAGAAACUCAAUGAAAUACAGUUUUAGUCGUGGUUUUGUCAUUCUUUUGUCACGACAGGACUUGAUGUACCUCACAGUCAGGAUUGAGCCUAAUGGGUUUUUUUCAG